CUGGCAUUCCAUCCCUCCCGUUUCUCCCAUCUCGCCCUACCAACCCUGGAUGCCCAUUCCGCCCCGGAGUUCCUGGAAUUCCCGGCUGACCAGGACAAAAUCCACCAGUGUCGGUAAGGCUCUUAGCAGCCCCAAACUCUUCUGAUCAGACGGCUCCACCACUCAGCUCAGUUCAAAGAAAACAAGAAAUUUCUCUUGCCCAGAGGCUCCAGCUCCAGGAAAUGGUUGAUGCGCUCAGAGGCAGAGCCAGAAACAGCAGGUCAAGAAAAGAGAGAGGCUGGGAACAGACCGAGUUAAAGUCUGGAAUUCAUAUUUACCCCUCACACCACAACCAUCAAUGUUUCUCCUGUGACCUUUAUGGAAUUCAAUGAUAGGAGAUCACGGACUAAAGGACUUUGUACAUGCUAGGACAUCACAGGCUGGGAGCCUAGCACAAUU